rnacentral:tRNA from 1 species
GGGGCUUAUAGUUUAAUUGGUUGAAAUGUACCGCUGAUAACGGUGAUAUUGUAGGUUCGAGCCCCCCCACCCCA